AUGAUUUUGAUGAAAGUGAUGAUUUCCAAAGUGAAGAGAUUAGUGAAGAUAUGAAGGACAAUGAACAUGAAGAAGAUGGGAAGGGAAGACAAGAAAUGGGGGUGUUAAGAAACACCAUUGCACAAAGUUUAAUGAAUGCAUCUAUUUAGCAUUUAGUUCCAAUUUGAAAUGGCUUCACUAUAUUUUGUGUAAUGCACUCUUUGACUAUGGUGGAGAAAUCUUUUGUAUAUUAUUUAAGAAUUUCAUUUGACUAUGGUGUUAAGAAAUCUUAUGUAAUAUCGUGGAUUAACUUUAUAAUUCAGUUACAUACAAAAGAAACAACUAUUUAUUGAGUGCAGCUAUUGGGACCUCCAGAUUUGCUCAGUGUACGUCCAUGUCUCUUUACACCUCCAUUUUAUUUUUAAAAACAAGCAUUUGCUCAUUAAACCUCCUUUCAAAUUCCUAAAAUAACCUUAAGUUUGUUAUUCAUAUAUAUUUCAAUAAUUUACUCAUUAUACCUCUUAUACGCUCUUUAGACCUCCCACACUUUAAUUUUUCUUUUUCUUUUUGCAUGCAAACAUCUAUUUUAGACCUCGAUUGCUUCAUUUCUUUUUUCUUCUUCUCUUUUUUCAUGAAAACCUCUUUCGCAACCUAAAUCCCUUGUUGUUGUUGUUUUUAUUUUUUUUUUUUUUUUUU
rnacentral:lncRNA from 1 species